rnacentral:rRNA from 1 species
AACGAACGUUGGCGGCGUGGAUUAGGCAUGCAAGUCGAACGAGAAAGCACCUUCGGGUGUGAGUAAAGUGGCGAACGGGUGAGUAACGCGUGGGAAACCUGCUCUAGAGUGGGGGAUAACAGUCCUAACGGACUGCUAAUACCGCAUAAUGCCUUAGAUCUCAUGGUCUAAGGUUAAAGGAGGCCUCUUCUUGAAAGCUUUCGCUUAAGAAUGGUCCCGCGUCCUAUUAGUUUGUUGGUGGGGUAACGGCCUACUAAGACAUCGAUGGGUAGCCGGCUUGAGAGAGUGGUCGGCCACACUGGGACUGAGAUACGGCCCAG